rnacentral:rRNA from 1 species
GCUUGUCUCAAAGAUUAAGCCAUGCAUGUCUAAGUAUAAACGACUUUAUACUGUGAAACUGCGAAUGGCUCAUUAUAUCAGUUAUAGUUUAUUUGAUGGUCCUUGCUACUUGGAUAACCGUAGUAAUUCUAGAGCUAAUACAUGCAUCAAGCCCCGACUUCUGGAAGGGGUGUAUUUAUUAGAUGGAAACCAAUGCGGGGCAACCCGGUAUAUGGUGAUUCAUAAUAACUCCUCGAAUCGCAUGGCCUUGCGCCGGCGAUGUUUCAUUCAAAUUUCUGCCCUAUCAAUUUGAUGGUAGGAUAGAGGCCUACCAUGGUGGUAACGGGUGACGGAGAAUUAGGGUUCGAUUCCGGAGAGGGAGCCUGAGAAAUGGCUACCACAUCCAAGGAAGGCAGCAGG